rnacentral:rRNA from 1 species
CAUGCAAGUCGAACGGAAAGUGCUCUUCGGAGUGACUCGAGUGGCGAACGGGUGAGUAACACGUGGGUGAUCUGCCCUGCACUUUGGGAUAAGCCUGGGAAACUGGGUCUAAUACCGGAUAGGACCACGGCCUUCAUGGGUUGUGGUGGAAAGCUUUUGCGGUGUGGGAUGGGCCCGCGGCCUAUCAGCUUGUUGGUGGGGUAAUGGCCUACCAAGGCGACGACGGGUAGCCGGCCUGAGAGGGUGUCCGGCCACACUGGGACUGAGAUACGGCCCAGACUCCUACGGGAGGCAGCAGUGGGGAAUAUUGCACAAUGGGCGCAAGCCUGAUGCAGCGACGCCGCGUGAGGGAUGACGGCCUUCGGGUUGUAAACCUCUUUCAGUAGGGACGAAGCGCAAGUGACGGUACCUAUAGAAGAAGCACCGGCCAACUACGUGCCAGCAGCCGCGGUAAUACGUAGGGUGCGAGCGUUGUCCGGAAUUACUGGGCGUAAAGAGCUCGUAGGUGGUUUGUCGCGUUGUUCGUGAAAACUCACA